AAAACAUAAUAUAGUAUAAUAUAUUUCAUUUCCACUGAAAAUAUGCUUGUUAAUGAGCUGUUUU
rnacentral:tRNA from 1 species